rnacentral:rRNA from 1 species
AAGGAUCAUUAGUGAAUCUUCAAAGUCGGCUCGUCGGAUUGUGCUGGUGGAGACACAUGUGCACGUCUGCGAGUCGCAAACCCACACACCUGUGCAUCUAUGACUCUGAGCGCCGCUUUGCAUGGCCUUUUUAUCGAGGCCUGGCGCUCGAGUACUUUCACACACUCUCGAAUGUAACGGAAUGUCUUGUUGUGCUCAAUGCACAAAAACGAAACAACUUUCAACAACGGAUCUUUUGGCUCUCGCAUCGAUGAAGAACGCAGCGAAAUGCGAUAAGUAAUGUGAAUUGCAGAAUUCAGUGAAUCAUCGAAUCUUUGAACGCACCUUGCACCCUUUGGUAUUCCGAAGGGUACACCGGUUUGAGUGUCAUUGUAAUCUCACUACCAUCGACUUUGGUCUUUUGGUAUGUGGACUUGGAUGCUGCCGUUCGAUCGACGGCUCGUCUGAAAUGCUUCAGUGUACCCCACUUUGCGGCGUAUUCGGGGUGAUAAAUCUUCACCGGAGUUGAUCCUUUUGGGUCGCGUCUGUAAUGGUGUGGCUCUAUGCUUCCAACCGUCUGCCCAGGUGGACAAUCUCUGACAAUUUGACCUCAAAUCGGGUGGGACUACCCGCUGAACUUAAGCAU